GGUGAAAAUGUUUCCCCCCAAUUUGUUUCCCUCAACUCCUUUCCCUCCUAUAUUUCCCUCUACUUUUUUCACCUGAGUUUCCCAACUAUUAGUAGGUAUAUUAGGGGAACAAUCAAGAACAAGAGAGAAAUUUUUUACAUAGUGGGAUCUUGUGAGGGUUCGGCAGUGAAAAUCAGCAGCGAAAUCAGGUAUAUUAGGGGAACAAUCAAGAAAAAGAGAGAAAUUUUCUUUUACAUAGUGGGAUUUUCUCAGCCAAUUGCUAAUCACAAAUGACGGGAGGCAAAGGAGUUGAGGAGCUCCAAUUUGUUUGUCAGCUCACUUGGAAGAUGACCCAUGUGUUGCAUUCAGGAGAUUAUCGAUGUUUGUCAGCUCUCUUUACUUUG